rnacentral:rRNA from 1 species
AUUGAACGCUGGCGGCAGGCCUAACACAUGCAAGUCGAGCGGAUGACAGGAGCUUGCUCCUUGAUUCAGCGGCGGACGGGUGAGUAAUGCCUAGGAAUCUGCCUGGUAGUGGGGGACAACGUUUCGAAAGGAACGCUAAUACCGCAUACGUCCUACGGGAGAAAGCAGGGGACCUUCGGGCCUUGCGCUAUCAGAUGAGCCUAGGUCGGAUUAGCUAGUAGGUGAGGUAAUGGCUCACCUAGGCGACGAUCCGUAACUGGUCUGAGAGGAUGAUCAGGCAAACUGGAACUGAGACACGGUCCAGACUCCUACGGGAGGCAGCAGUGGGGAAUAUUGGACAAUGGGCGAAAGCCUGAUCCAGCCAUGCCGCGUGUGUGAAGAAGGUCUUCGGAUUGUAAAGCACUUUAAGUUGGGAGGAAGGGCAGUAAGUUAAUACCUUGCUGUUUUGACGUUACCGACAGAAUAAGCACCGGCUAACUUCGUGCCAGCAGCCGCCGCGGUAA